rfam:Tolumonas auensis DSM 9187, complete genome.
UCCCUCGUAGUUCAGUCGGUAGAACGGCGGACUGUUAAUCCGUAUGUCACUGGUUCGAGUCCAGUCGAGGGAG